UGAGUAAUGUCUGGGAAACUGCCUGAUGGAGGGGGAUAACUACUGGAAACGGUAGCUAAUACCGCAUAACGUCGCAAGACCAAAGAGGGGGACCUUCGGGCCUCUUGCCAUCAGAUGUGCCCAGAUGGGAUUAGCUAGUAGGUGGGGUAACGGCUCACCUAGGCGACAAUCCCUAGCUGGUCUGAGAGGAUGACCAGCCACACUGGAACUGAGACACGGUCCAGACUCCUACGGGAGGCAGCAUG
rnacentral:rRNA from 1 species